UUGAGGCUUCGGCGGAUUUGAUCUGUUUCUAGUGGCGGACGGGUGAGUAACGCGUGGGUAACCUGCCUUACACAGGGGGAUAACAGUUAGAAAUGACUGCUAAUACCGCAUAAAACAGCAGCACCGCAUGGUGCAACUGUCAAAGAUUUAUCGGUGUAAGAUGGACCCGCGUCUGAUUAGUUAGUUGGUGGGGUAACGGCCUACCAAGACGACGAUCAGUAGCCGGACUGAGAGGUUGAACGGCCACAUUGGGACUGAGAUACGGCCCAGACUCC
rnacentral:rRNA from 1 species